AUUGAACGCUGGCGGCAGGCUUAACACAUGCAAGUCGAGCGGGGUGAUGGUGCUUGCACUAUCACUUAGCGGCGGACGGGUGAGUAAUGCUUAGGAAUCUGCCUAUUAGUGGGGGACAACAUCUCGAAAGGGAUGCUAAUACCGCAUACGUCCUACGGUAGAAAGCAGGGGAUCACGUGUGACCUCGCGCUAAUAGAUGAGCCUAAGUCGGAUUAGCUAGUUGGUGGGGGAAAGGCCUACCAAGGAGACGAUCCGUAGCGGGUCUGAGAGGAUGAUCCGCCACACUGGGACUGAGACACGGCCCAGACUCCUACGGGAGGCAGCAGUGGGGAAUAUUGGACAAUGGGGGGAACCCUGAUCCAGCCAUGCCGCGUGUGUGAAGAAGGCCUUAUGGUUGUAAAGCACUUUAAGCGAGGAGGAGGCUCUUUUGGUUAAUACCCAAGAUGAGUGGACGUUACUCGCAGAAUAAGCACCGGCUAACUCUGUGCCAGCCGCCGCCGUAA
rnacentral:rRNA from 1 species